rnacentral:rRNA from 1 species
GAUGAACGCUGGCGGCGUGCCUAAUACAUGCAAGUCGAGCGAACGGACGAGAAGCUUGCUUCUCUGAUGUUAGCGGCGGACGGGUGAGUAACACGUGGAUAACCUACCUAUAAGACUGGGAUAACUUCGGGAAACCGGAGCUAAUACCGGAUAAUAUUUUGAACCGCAUGGUUCAAAAGUGAAAUACGGUCUUGCUGUCACUUCUAGAUGGAUCCGCGCUGCAUUAGCUAGUUGGUAAGGUAACGGCUUACCAAGGCAACGAUGCAUAGCCGACCUGAGAGAGUGGUCGGCCACACUGGAAGUGAGACAGGGUCCAGACUACUACGGUAGGCAGCAGUAGGGAAUCGUCCGCAAUGGGCGAAAGCCUGACGGAGCAACGCCGCGUGAGUGAUGAAGGUCUUCGGAUCGUAAAACUCUGUUAUUAGGGAAGAACAUAUGUGUAAGUAACUGUGCACAGCUUGACGGUACCUAAUCAGAAAGCCACGGCUAACUACGUG